GUGGGUAGUUUGACUGGGGCGGUCUCCUCCUAAAGAGUAACGGAGGAGCACGAAGGUUAGCUAAUCCUGGUCGGACAUCAGGAGGUUAGUGCAAAGGCAUAAGCUAGCUUGACUGCGAGAGUGACGGCUCGAGCAGGUGCGAAAGCAGGUCUUAGUGAUCCGGUGGUUCUGAAUGGAAGGGCCAUCGCUCAACGGAUAAAAGGUACUCCGGGGAUAACAGGCUGAUACCGCCCAAGAGUUCAUAUCGACGGCGGUGUUUGGCACCUCGAUGUCGGCUCAUCACAUCCUGGGGCUGAAGUAGGUCCCAAGGGUAUGGCUGUUCGCCAUUUAAAGUGGUACGCGAGCUGGGUUUAGAACGUCGUGAGACAGUUCGGUCCCUAUCUGCCGUGGGCGCUGGAGAAUUGAGGGGGGCUGCUCCUAGUACGAGAGGACCGGAGUGGACGCAUCACUGGUGUUCGGGUUGUCAUGCCAAUGGCAUUGCCCGGUAGCUAAAUGCGGAAGAGAUAAGUGCUGAAAGCAUCUAAGCACGAAACUUGCCCCGAGAUGAGUUCUCCCUGAGACUU
rnacentral:rRNA from 1 species